rnacentral:tRNA from 1 species
GUCAGGAUGGCCGAGUGGUAUAAGGCGCCAGACUCAAGGCUCAUAUCCUUCCCAGGCUCUGGGUGUUCUGGUCUCCGAACGGAGGCAUGGGUUCAAAUCCCACUUCUGACA